UAAAUUGUAAUUUUUUGUUUAAUUUGGGAUUUUGUUGUUCAACUUUUAAGACAAGCUCAUCGUAAGUUUCAUAUUGGUCACCUCUAAAAAUCUUCGGACUUUUUGAACUCAAUGGGUCGCGAAAACCAUUUACUGAAUUCGCUCGAUAAGAUUCCUAGUAGAGUCCCUUCAUCACGGGUUGAACACCAAGUUUUUGAUUUGAGAGAAUAUUCAUAAUGUUUGGGACCACUGGUUUUAGGUUAGUACCGAUUCUAACAAGACUAAACUUGGAUGCUAGUCUAAUAUAAUGGGACUUAAGGUCAUAAUUAUACUAAGACUAAAAAUUUCCUUUAAGCACUCGAUACUAUAGGAAACAUGUUUGGCAAUAGCUGACUGUACCUACCUUACUGGGGAUGAAAGCCAAAUUUGAUGAGCAGGAGGCUGCUUAUUUAUUACAUAAGUCCCCUUUUCACCAAGCAUAAGAGUAAUUACUCCAUUCUGCAAAUCUAGUGUUAGAAUCGUUUCAACACAAACUCAGCUAGACUAAUUGUAAUGUUUGGGCAACUCUGUUGACAUACAGCAUAUUGAAUAUCAUAAUCUUUUUUUCCUACUUCUUCUAAUAAAUCCUCAAAUGUAUCAUUUAAGACAUCAAGGGUGUCAUCUGCAACUCGAUGAUACUCAAGAUCCGUCAAAGCUCCAUUAUGCCGUACUUGUGAAUAAUACCUACAGCGUAGCCCAAAAACAUUAGUCGAGAAUUCAUAAGGCUUCAAAAAAAUUGGGGUUCGUCUGCGAAAGGCUGCUCGCAAAGACUGCAUAUUUCAUAUCACGGCUCUUUCACAAUCUCUCUUGUCGGUGUAGGCUUAAUUGCUAGGUACAAAGAAAGAAAAUAAAUGAUAUUUUUCGAUAAAAUUAUAUGUCAAUAAUUCUCUUAAUUGCAAAUAUUACAAAAUUACUCUUCAAUGAGUAGUUAGCGGAUAAUUCGUGUGUUCGCACUUGGAUCAAAUUACGGUCGCAAACUCAAGAAGUGAAUUUACAUAAAGAAGGAAUUCUGGGUUUUGGGAAAUAUGCUGUACAGAACGACUUAGUCCUUUUCGAAUAAAGUAUUUAUAUCUAAACGGUUUGAACAAUUGUACUUUAAGGUACAUCGCUUCAACACUCAUCCAUAAAAGGGUAAUGAUCUUAAUUGAGUUGCAAUUAGUAGAAAAUGGAAAAU